AGUGAACGCUGGCGGUAGGCCUAACACAUGCAAGUCGAACGGCAGCACAGGAGAGCUUGCUCUCUGGGUGGCGAGUGGCGGACGGGUGAGGAAUACAUCGGAAUCUACUUUUUCGUGAGGGAUAACGUAGGGAAACUUACGCUAAUACCGCAUACGACCUACGGGUGAAAGCAGGGGACCUUCGGGCCUUGCGCGAUUGAAUGAGCCGAUGUCGGAUUAGCGAGUUGGCGGGGUAAAGGCCCACCAAGGCGACGAUCCGUAGCUGGUCUGAGAGGAUGAUCAGCCACACUGGAACUGAGACACGGUCCAGACUCCUACGGGAGGCAGCAGUGGGGAAUAUUGGACAAUGGGCACAAGCCUGAUCCAGCCAUACCGCGUGGGUGAAGAAGGCCUUCGGGUUGUAAAGCCCUUUUGUUGGGAAAGAAAUCCAGCUGGCUAAUACCCGGUUGGGAUGACGGUACCCAAAGAAUAAGCACCGGCUAACUUCGUGCCAGCAGCCGCAGUAA
rnacentral:rRNA from 1 species